rnacentral:rRNA from 1 species
AUGAUUGACCUGAAUGAGGAACCAGCUGAAAAUAAUGAUGAUCCAUUGUACUGUACACAACAUGCUACUGGAAAUGCAGAAUUUGUGGCGGAAUCACCUAAUCCCCCUAUCAUGCAAAGAGUCGAUGGUGCUGCUACAGAAGCAAUGGAGACAGAUGGGCAGUCAAGUCAUGGGAGGCGUGCGCUGGGCAGUACACAAGUACCUACAACUGUAACAGCUGGGAGUGAUGCUCAUAUCCUUGAUGGCACAGGUGCUGCAGGUGAUACUGGUGGAACUGUUGGUAAUGGUUGGGUGCUGAAAAUGAUGAUGAAGCUUGGUCACAGCCCAAGGAGACUUACGUGGGCAUAA